rnacentral:rRNA from 1 species
UACGUAGGGUGCGAGCGUUAAUCGGAAUUACUGGGCGUAAAGCGUGCGCAGGCGGUUCUGAAAGUCAGCUGUGAAAGCCCCGGGCUUAACCUGGGAACUGCAUUUGUGACUGGCGGGCUAGAGUAUGGCAGAGGGGGGUAGAAUUCCACGUGUAGCAGUGAAAUGCGUAGAGAUGUGGAGGAAUACCGAUGGCGAAGGCAGCCCCCUGGGCCAAUACUGACGCUCAUGCACGAAAGCGUGGGGAGCAAACAGG